UUCUGAUUGGAUGUUGACUGUCACGUGUCAUGGUCUGAUUGAAUAUUAACUGUCACUGUUACGUUUUGAUUGGAUGUUGACAACAACACUACAUUUUUAUCGUCCAAUCAGAAUGUGACACAUGACAGUCAACGUUC
rfam:Glycine soja cultivar W05 scaffold2240_45, whole genome shotgun sequence.